GAGACGCCGUGCGCGCUUCCGCUCCUUCCCCUCGGGAAACUGCCACGCCCCCAUCCUCUCCCCCGUCCAAUAGGGGAGAGAGGGCGGGGCGACCUCGCUCUGACUCGGGAGAGGCUAUAUAGGGAGCUGCAAGUGGCGAGGUUCUUUCUUUUACGUCAGGAACUGGAGCUGGUUUCUCUUGGCUACGGGCAAUGUCACCGUUUUUCAGAGGUAUAUCGGAGUGUUUACGUGCACAUGCCAAGUUGCAUGAGAAAAUUCCAGACCAUCUACCAGAAUCUUUAAUGGAAAAAUACUUGCUCAAAACUUGACAGUCAAACCAGUGUCAUCAGUGUUGAUAAUUGAUACUGAAGCUAUAGAGAUCACUGGCCGGCUAUUUCAUUUUAAAUCAGUAAUAAGCGUUACAAUAUGCCCAGAAGCCAUCUCACUAGGAAGUGCCUAAGGUGGAUCAGUUUCUGGCUGAAUACCGUAAUGGCUUUUCCUGUCGUAUGAAAGACUGAUGGAAACAACCAAAAAGGCACACAUCAAGACCACUUUGAAAGUUGGGAUUGUGUUAGUUUUUCUUUUGCUUGGUAUUGGAGAUCUGUCAGGCAAACAGUUCAGUGGUACCUGGUAAAAUAGCCUGUGUUGCUCAGGAGUUCUUAGCUAAUCACCAUUUGUGAGAAAACAAGUGAAUCUGAGUUGCCCAGUUUGAGGAUCAUCUAACAUGCCUUUAAUCAUCUGUUUGGAUUAAAAAUAGUUCCAAUUAAAAGUGAAAAUUUAUGCAAUUUAGGGGACAGUCCAUGACAUAUUUGUAGACCUGGCCUGGUUUGUUCAUUGAUACACAAUGACUAGUCUAGUUGUGGAGUUAAUACAUGAAAUUUUUACAUAUCAA